rnacentral:misc_RNA from 1 species
GUACCAUACUUAUUAUGUAAUUGGUGGUUGUCUCAUUUUUGUUAUUUCAAGUUCUCAACAACUUGGAAAUUGUAGAAGUAUUAUCUUUAUGCUUUUAAAGUUAACAAUAUAUAGUUUUUGGAUUCUUGUGAAUGAAAGACAAUUACAUGAUUUAUAACAUCUUAAUCUUCUGGCCUAUUGUUUGAAAAAAAGGAAAUGGUCCAUUAAUCGAUGGAGACCAAUUGUUUAAAUUGUAUGCAAAAAGAAAUGGUGAAAAUGAAGGUUCCGGUUUUCACAAUACACUAUGCUUUUUGUCUUAAUUUUCUAAAUAUUGUUCUUCAUUUCUUUCCUUCCAUUUUUAGGAAACCUGUAAAAUUUUUAUGCCUGUUAUAGAGUAGUUGCAUUUGUAGUAUUUAUGCAGAAUGUUGUUAUUUUAUAUAAAUGGUCCGUGUCAAGAGUUGGUUCAAUAUUUGAAAACUUCUUUCCAUGUACAUACAAGAAUUUCUCAGUAACAAUUUUAGUAUGAAAGACAUAAAUGUGGUCUUGCUAUUUCAUUGCUUAUGAGAGUGCACCUUAUAUGAAAAGAUAUUCAAGUAAGACAUUCUAUGAGGCUUGUGUGUUAAAUCUAUUCUCAUGUAUGGUAAGAAUUAUAUGUGAAAUAGUUGGGACCUGUUUACUUUUAGUUGUAGAAAACAGUUUUCUAUUUUUCAUUAUCCAUUUUUUAAGAAAAUUUUAGUUUUAAUUUUUCAUGUAAAACAAGGUAAAGCAUGGAAACCACAUUUACCUGUCAAUAGUAGAAAACGGUUUUCUAAUUCAAAAA